rfam:Asian citrus Psyllid, Diaphorina citri - Florida Strain, whole genome shotgun sequence.
GCCCAGCUGAACCGUAGUGGUCUGCGGUGCAGGCUUCAAACCUGUAGCUGAUUAGCGUCAGAGUGGUUCGAUUCCACCUGUUGGGC